rnacentral:rRNA from 1 species
AUUGAACGCUGGCGGCAUGCCUUACACAUGCAAGUCGAACGGUAACAGGUCUUCGGAUGCUGACGAGUGGCGAACGGGUGAGUAAUACAUCGGAACGUGCCCGAUCGUGGGGGAUAACGGAGCGAAAGCUUUGCUAAUACCGCAUACGAUCUACGGAUGAAAGCAGGGGACCGCAAGGCCUUGCGCGGACGGAGCGGCCGAGGGCAGAUUAGGUAGUUGGUGGGAUAAAAGCUUACCAAGCCGACGAUCUGUAGCUGGUCUGAGAGGACGACCAGCCACACUGGGACUGAGACACGGCCCAGACUCCUACGGGAGGCAGCAGUGGGGAAUUUUGGACAAUGGGCGCAAGCCUGAUCCAGCCAUGCCGCGUGCAGGAUGAAGGCCUUCGGGUUGUAAACUGCUUUUGUACGGAACGAAAAGACUCUGGUUAAUACCUGGGGUCCAUGACGGUACCGUAAGAAUAAGCACCGGCUAACUACGUGCCAGCAGCCGCAGUAA